rnacentral:lncRNA from 1 species
GGGACUCACCUGAAAUUGCUGGUUAGAAAGGGAAGCAGUGGCCCACUUUUCAGUAGAUUUUAUACUUCUCAAGACGUGAACAUUCCGGGGCAGGUAAAGUUCCUAUGGAAAGUGCUUAGUGUCCACGAGAUUGGCUAUAAAAACAACCGUGAAUAUGACUAGCUUUGAGAGUCAGAAACUCUGAUCAUCUGCCAAGGCUCUCCACCGGCAAGAAAAAGGUGAAGGCAGAACUGGCACUGAUCAUCUUCUGAAUUCCCUUUCAAGGUUGAAAAUAUGGAUAGCACAGCCCAAUCUUUGCUAUUGAUGUUCUUAUGAGCCAAAUGGUUGUUGCAAAAUAAGAUUCUAGUCAUUGUGUCUAAGCCCAAAGCCAUGAGAUGGAGGAAUACACUCUUCCCUCAUUGAGGAGGGUUUCUGCAAGUGGAUUAAUCAGCCCUGUGUAUUCAUUCUACCACCAGAGCAACAAUUCAUUUUGAUUAUUAUGUUACGAAUACCAGCGACAUUCAAUAGACCUUGCAGAGAAAUGUAUAUGAGCUUGGGCAAAUAUCCACUGUAGCACACGAGACAGAUCAGAUAAUAAUAGCAGCUGCAGGUUCUGGAACAUCACAGAGUCCCUCCAUGAUACCCACUGAAUUGGAAUGUCAACCUGGUGAUGUAGUUCAUCCUUAUCACCUAAAAAAUUCUACAGUAAUGGCAAAUAUAGCACAUGUGUUUAAAAAUCAGUAUUCAUAUCACCUUUUGUACAGUCCAAAUAGCUUUAAUAGUGAAUGUCCAAGAGCCUUUACAUUAAUUGCUAAAUGCCGAUAGUAAGAAAGUAAAUGAAAUUUAACCCCAACCCUCCCUAGGGGCUGUGGG